GAUGAAGAACGCAGCGAAAUGCGAUACGUAAUGUGAAUUGCAAAUUCAGUGAAUCAUCGAGUCUUUGAACGCACAUUGCGCCCCCUGGUAUUCCGGGGGGCAUGCCUGUCCGAGCGUCAUUGCUGCCCUCAAGCACGGCUUGUGUGUUGGGCCCCGUCCUCCGAUCCCGGGGGACGGGCCCGAAAGGCAGCGGCGGCACCGCGUCCGGUCCUCGAGCGUAUGGGGCUUUGUCACCCGCUCUGUAGGCCCGCCCGGCGCUUGCCGAUCAACCCAAAUUUUUAUCCAGGUUGACCUCGGAUCAGGUAGGGAUACCCGCUGAACUUAAGCAUAUCAAUAAGCGGAGGA
rnacentral:misc_RNA from 1 species